rnacentral:sRNA from 1 species
GCUGGGCACGGUGGUGCACGCCUGUAAUCCUAGCAGUUCGGGAGGCUGAGGCAGGAGGAUUGUGAGAUCAAAGCCAGCCUCAGCAAAAAGUGAGGCACUAAGAAACUCAGUGAGACUUUGUCUCUA